UACGUAGGGGCUAGCGUUGUCCGGAAUCAUUGGGCGUAAGAGCGUGUAGGCGGCCAGAUAAGUCCGCUGUGAAAUCUCGAGGCUCAACUUCGAGCUGUCGGUGGAAACUGUCUGGCUAGAGUCCGGAAGAGGAGAAUGGAAUUCCUGGUGUAGCGGUGAAAUGCGCAGAUAUCAGGAAGAACACCCGUGGCGAAGGCGGUUCUCUGGGACGGUACUGACGCUGAGACGCGAAAGCGUGGGGAGCGAACAGG
rnacentral:rRNA from 1 species